AACAACAAUAUUGUUAAAGGUAAUACAAUAAAAGGUAAUAAUAACAACAAUAUUAUUAAGGGUAAUACAAUAACAACAAGUAAUAAUAACAACAAUAUGUAUGGUUGAACAUAGUUGAAAAAUAUUCUUUUAAUUUUGAAGUCUUAAGUUUUGAAUAUUUCUACAUGUAAAUUUAUAUUUUGUGUAUCAGAAAUUGAUUUAACUUUUCUAUUUGAUAAACACUGGGAUAAAGAUAAUACUAGGAUAAAGAUAAAAAUGGGAUAAAGAUAAUACUGGGAUAAAAGAAAAUACUGGGAUAAAGAUAAUACUGGGAUAAAGGUAUUACUGAGAUAAAGGUAAUACUGGGAUAAACAUAAUACUGGGAUAAAGAUAAUACGGGGGAUAAAGGUAAUACUGGGAAAAAGGUAAUACUGGGAUAAAGGUAAUACUGGGAUAAAGGUAAUACUGGGAUAAACAUAAUACUGGGAUAAAGAUAAUACUGGGAUAAAGGUAAUACUGGGAUAAAGGUAAUACUGGGAUAAAGAUAAUACUGGGAUAAAGAUAAUACUGGGAUAAAGGUAAUACUGGGAUAAAGGUAAUACUGGGAUAAAGGUAAUACUGGGAUAAAGAUAAUACUGGGACAAAGGUAAUGCUGGGAUUAAGAUAAAGCUGGGAUAAAGGUAAUGCUAGGAUAAAGGUAAUAUAUUUCACUAUCUUUCUGGUGGUUGGUUUCUGUAGUUUGAUAAAAGUUUUGAUAAAGGAACAAUACAGUAGAACCCCACAUAUACGGCAGGUUAGGUUCCAGGCGACUGCCAGAAAGCAGAAUGCCAUUUUUUUCACUUAUAAAUGCAUUUAAAUGCCAGGUAACAAGUUUACACAAACAUAUAUUAUGUUAGCAAUAGAACUAGGUGGUGUCAUGAGUGGCUGGUGUUUUCAUGUCAGCACAACAGCUGGUAAGUGUCAGGUGUGAUUUAUAUUCUUCUGUUACAACAACAACUAGAGAGAAGUCAAGUGUGCUUUGUGAGUACACAACUGGCCAGAGACCAGGUAUGAAUAGAUAUGAUUACACAGCUGGCCAGAAACUAGGUAUGUCUAGAUAUAAUUACACAGCUGGCCAGAGACCAGGUAUGUCUAGAUGUUAGUACACAGCUGGCCAGAGACCAGGUAUGUCUAGAUGUGAGUACACAGCUGGCCAGAGACCAGGCAUGUCUAGAUACGAUUACACAGCUGGCCAGAAACCAGGUAUUUCUAGCUGUGAGUACACAGCUGGCCAGAGACCAGGUAUGUCUAGAUAUGAGUACACAGCUGGCCAAAAGACCCCGGUAUGUCUAGAUGUGAGUACACAGCUGGCCAGAGACCAGGUAUGUCUAGGUGUGAGUACACAGCUGACCAGAGACCAGGUAUGUCUAGAUGUGAGUACACAGCUGGCUAGAGGCCAGGUAUGUCUAGAUAUAGAGUGAAUUUAAAGGAAGUUGAAAUGUGUGUUAACAGAAUUUCUGUUUUUUCAUAAAAAUAUAUUCUGUGUGAUAAUUACUUUGUUAAUACUAAAAAUGCUAAAUAUUCUCUCUCUCUUCAAGUUUUAUUAAAACAGAAUAUGAAUAUUUA